CAGGCUGGACGUGAUGGUCGCGGGCCGGGCAACCGGUCCCGAGGAAAGUCCGAGCUCCACCGGGUAGACUGCCAGGUAACGCCUGGGCGCCGCAAGGCGACGGACAGGGCCACAGAAAACAGACCGCCUCCGGCGCGAGCCGGCGGUAAGGGUGAAACGGUGGGGUAAGAGCCCACCGCCCCGAGCGUAAGCGAGGGGGCACGGCAACCCCCAGUCGGUGCAAGGCCAAAUAAGCGGCGAGGUGUGACCCACACCGCCCAUGGGACGACGGGGCUUGCCCCGGGAUUCCAAGCCGCGGGUAGGCUGCUCGAGGCGGUCGGCGACGACCGUCCCAGAUAGAUGACCAUCUCCCGGAGGGGCAACCCCGAGGGAAACAGAACUCGGCUUACGGUCUGGCCUGGGGC
rnacentral:RNase_P_RNA from 1 species